GGGCCCGCACAAGCGGUGGAGUAUGUGGUUUAAUUCGAUGCAACGCGAAGAACCUUACCAGGGUUUGACAUCCUGCGAAUCUCUUGGAAACAGGAGAGUGCCUUCGGGAACGCAGUGACAGGUGGUGCAUGGCUGUCGUCAGCUCGUGUCGUGAGAUGUUGGGUUAAGUCCCGCAACGAGCGCAACCCACGUCUUUAGUUGCCAUCAUUAAGUUGGGCACUCUGAAAGAACUGCCAGUGAUAAGCUGGAGGAAGGUGGGGAUGACGUCAAGUCCUCAUGGCCCUUACGUGUUGGGCUACACACGUGCUACAAUGGUAUUUACAACAGGAAGCAAGACUGCGAAGUUAAGCAAAUCCCUAAAAAAUACCUCAGUUCGGAUUGCACUCUGCAACUCGAGUGCAUGAAGCUGGAAUUACUAGUAAUCGU
rnacentral:rRNA from 1 species